UUUUUGAGAUGGAGUCUCGCUCUGUUGCCCAGGCUGGAGUGCAGUGGCACGAUAUUGACUCACCGAAACCUCCACCUCCUGGCUUCAAGCGAUUCUCCUGCCUCGACCUCCCCAGUAACUGGGAUUUCAGGAGUGAGCCACCAUGCCCAGGUGUAUCUGGUUUCUUUCACGGAGCGUAAGUCUCCAAGGCUCAUCCGAGUUGCAGUGUGUAUGAGGACUGCAUUCUCUUUACAGCUAAGCAAUGUUCUACAGUGUGGUUACCACGCAUUGUGUCCGUGCACUCAUGAGGCAAGGGACCAGCCCGUGUUCUCUGAGCUGGGCUGACUUGGGCUCUGAAAUGUGAAGUAACUUGCUCUCCAGGAGGCACGUGAAGAAGUUGCUUCAUCCUUUUGAAGUCUGCCCAGCAGCCCUAACUGCUAGACUGGGCUCCCCAGUUGCUGGUCUCAUCAGGAUAGCAAUGGAGAGUUCACUCUUUCCGAGAAGGAUGUUUUAUGUGUUUACAGGCAUUCUGUAAUUAUGUUUAUUAUUUACGGUCAGUUUUAGGGACAUAAAAUUGCCACUGUAUUGUUGGGAGUAAAUUUUAUUUCCGUGGUUUUAACACACACACAGAAAUAAUAAUCAUAUUAGUAGCUGAAUAUUGUCAUGAUUCUGUAAGAUAUAAAUUUUACUGCAAUAACAACUAUAAAAUACCAAGAACCCACUGCAGCAGGAUUAUUAGGAAUAAAUGUUACUGCUGCUUCCAAAACUCAAAGGAUCACUCCAUUGGCGGCUGCAAAGAGACCUCACUCUGGUGAGUGUAAAGGCACUGUGCGAGCUACUCUAAACCCACAAUACUCGACAACUGCGUUGGGAUGAUUGCGAAUCCAUUUUAUGUCUCCAAUGAAGACACAAAUAAAAUGAAUGAUGCCCUUUGUA